rnacentral:rRNA from 1 species
UACAGAGGUCUCAAGCGUUGUUCGGAUUCAUUGGGCGUAAAGGGUGCGUAGGCGGUGAAAUAAGUUGGAUGUGAAAUCCCGGAGCUUAACUCCGGAACUGCAUUCAAUACUGUUUUGCUAGAGUACUGGAGAGGAGAUUGGAAUUCACGGUGUAGCAGUGAAAUGCGUAGAUAUCGUGAGGAAGACCAGUGGCGAAGGCGAAGCUCUGGACAGUUACUGACGCUGAGGCACGAAGGCCAGGGGAGCAAACGGG